rnacentral:rRNA from 1 species
CGGGUGAGUAACGCGUGAGGAACCUGCCUCGAAGAGGGGGACAACAGUUGGAAACGGCUGCUAAUACCGCAUAAGCCCACGGCUCGGCAUCGAGCAGAGGGAAAAGGAGCAAUCCGCUUUGAGAUGGCCUCGCGUCCGAUUAGCUAGUUGGUGAGGUAAUGGCCCACCAAGGCAACGAUCGGUAGCCGGACUGAGAGGUUGAACGGCCACAUUGGGACUGAGACACGGCCCAG